rnacentral:lncRNA from 1 species
AUUUCAAAUAGGCAUUUGGAUAUGACUCUGGAUUCUAAAGAGAGCUCUGAGCUUGAAGGAUAAAUAUGGGAGGCAUGAAAAUGAAUAUUAUCGCCUCUAAAGAGAGCAUAGAGUAAGAAGAGAAUGCUAAUGCUUGAGAAAUUCCAAUUCAGAUAGUGGAGCAGCUGGCAAGGUAGACAGAAGAAGAGCAGUCAGAAAAGCAGGAAGAACACCAGGCCAGUGAGGUGUUAUGGAAGUCAAAGAAGAGAACAAAGAAAAACAGAAUGAAAAAGAGUAAAGAAAGCCUACAUGAUCCAUGAGAUUCCAUUAAAUGUACAAAUAUUUAAAUAAUUGGGAUUCAAGAAGGAGAAGAGAGACAGAAGGAGACAGAAAGUUUAUUUAAAGAAAUAACAGCUGAGAACUUCCCAAAUUUGGAGAGAGACUUGGAAUCUAGGUUCACAAAGCUAAUAGAUCACUCUAUUAUCUUAAUGCAAAAUGACCUUCUCCAAGAUACAUUAUAAUGAAACUGUCAAAAAUCAAAGAUAAAGAGAGUGACCAGAGGAAAAAAAAUUGUAACCUACAAAGGAACCCCCAUUAAGCUAUCAGCAUAUUUCUCAGCAGAAACCUGACAGGCUAGAAGAGGCUGGAAUGACACAUUCAAAGUAUUGAAAAAAAAUUUGCCAACCAAGAAUACUCUAUCCAGAAAAGGUAUCCUUCAGAUACAAAGGAGAAUUAAAGAUCUUUCUAGACAAGAAAAAAAAAGUUUGAGGGUGUUCAUCAUGACUAGACCUGUCCUGCAAGAAAUACUGAAAGACGUUCUUCAGGCUGAAAUGAAAAGAUACUAAUCAGUGACAUGAAAAUAUAGAAAAGGACGCAACACAUUGGUAAAGGUGAAUAUACAGUCAGAUUUAGAAAACUCUAAUUCUGUAAAAGGAUGAUGUGUUAACCACUUAACUAUAGCAUAAAGGUUAAAGGAAAAGAGUAGUAAAAAUAACUAUGGCUACUGUAAUUUGUUAAUGAAUACACAAUACAAAAAGAAAGAAAUUGUGAGAUCAAAAGCAUAAAAUGUGGGGGGAGGAGUAAAAGGGUAGAGUUUUUGUAUGUGAUUGAAGUUAAGUUAUCAGCUUAAUAUACACUGUUAUAUCUGUAAGAUGUUUUAUGUAGGCUUCAUUGUAACCAUAAGCAAAAAUCUAGAGCAGACUCACAAAAGAUAAAGAAAGGGGAAACAGAGCACACACCCUGGAAAAUCACCAAUUUACAAAUGUAGGGAGAAACAGAGGAGAAAAGAAAGAAUUGAAAUACAAAACAAACAGAAAGCAAAGAAAAAAAUGGCAUUUGUAAGUCCUUACGUAUCAAUAAUUACUUUAAAUGUAAAUGGAUUGAAUUCUCCAAUAAAAAGGCACAGAGUGGCUAGAUGGAUUAAAAAACAAGACCCAACUUUAUGCUGCCUAUAGUAGACUCACUUCAGUUUUAAGGACACACACAGGCUCAAAGUGAGGGCAUGGAAAAAGAUACUUCAUGCUAGUGGAAACCAAGAGAAACUAGGUU